UACGUAGGUGGCGAGCGUUGUCCGGAUUUACUGGGCGUAAAGAGCGCGCAGGCGGCUGGUCAAGUCCGAUGUGAAAGCUCCCGGCUUAACUGGGAAAUUGCAUCGGAAACUGAUCGGCUGGAAGGUGGGAGAGGGUAGCGGAAUUCCCGGUGUAGUGGUGAAAUGCGUAGAUAUCAGGAGGAACACCGGUGGCGAAGGCGGCUAUCUGGACAGAAACUGACGCUGAGGCGCGAAAGCUAGGGGAGCAAACAGG
rnacentral:rRNA from 1 species